GCCAACUUUGUUUUCUUUAUUUGUUGAAGACUUUGAACUUUAGUUACUAGAUAUAACAUUAACUCUGGUUUUGUGUAGUUGAUAUUUUGUUGAUUUUACUAAUAUUUGCUGACGACAUGGAUAUUUUAGACAGGUCACCUGCCGAAGUCCAAUCCUAUGGAAGCAUAAACCUGCCCUUUUGAGUAUUAGCUGCGACUGGAAGGCUGCUGAGCAUCUCGAAUUGUCGACUGUGAUGUCUUAUUCAAAAUAUAUUGACUCUUAACGGCAAUCGAAAUGAAGAUUGGGAUCAUACUAUUAAUAAUUUUGGCGCUUUUUAACGUGGUGAUAUGUGUUGCACCAACUUAUUUGCCAAAGAAAACUUUGAAACAGAGAUCUUAACUUAUUAUUGAAUAUUUCACACUUUUGCCAAUUCAAACACACCUUGAUCGAAUUGCUCAAAAUUGGAAUACUCAAACGAUUAGACCCCAAAAGAAUAACGAGCUCAAUUAUGGAAAACCUGACGUCAUGUUCCAUUUACCUAUUUGAUAGCCAAAAUUUCGGAACAAAUGUGGAACAUGUAUUUGCAAUAAAUAUUUCAAUCA